GAUGAACGCUAGCGGCAGGCCUAAUACAUGCAAGUCGAACGAGCUUAGUUCUUUCGGGAACUAGGUUAGUGGCGCACGGGUGCGUAACGCGUAUGCAACCUACCUUCCACUGGGGGAUAGCCCACCGAAAGGUGGAUUAAUACCGCAUGACACAUUUGGGUGGCAUCACCUGAUUGUCAAAGCUGAGGCGGUGGAAGAUGGGCAUGCGUGCCAUUAGCUAGUUGGUAGGGUAACGGCCUACCAAGGCGACGAUGGCUAGGGGUUCUGAGAGGAUGGUCCCCCACACUGGUACUGAGACACGGACCAGACUCCUACGGGAGGCAGCAGUAGGGAAUAUUGGGCAAUGGCCGAGAGGCUGACCCAGCCAUGCCGCGUGCAGGAAGAAGGCCUUCUGGGUUGUAAACUGCUUUUAUCUAGGAAGAAAACGCCCUUGCGAGGGUAACUGACGGUACUAGAUGAAUAAGCACCGGCUAACUCCGUGCCAGCAGCCGCGGUAA
rnacentral:rRNA from 1 species